rnacentral:rRNA from 1 species
UACGUAGGGUGCGAGCGUUGUCCGGAAUUAUUGGGCGUAAAGGGCUCGUAGGCGGUCUGUCACGUCGGGAGUGAAAACACGGGGCUUAACCCCGUGCCUGCUUCCGAUACGGGCAGAUUAGAGGUAUGCAGGGGAGAACGGAAUUCCUGGUGUAGCGGUGAAAUGCGCAGAUAUCAGGAGGAACACCGGUGGCGAAGGCGGUUCUCUGGGCAUUACCUGACGCUGAGGAGCGAAAGUGUGGGGAGCGAACAGG